GCCGCUGUAGCUUAAUGGUUAUGGCGUUGCUUUCCUAUCGCGGAAUAAGGCAAAGGUUGCGAGUUCGAAUCUCGCCAGCGGUU